rnacentral:miRNA from 1 species
CACUUCAGAUUGAUGGUGUGU